rnacentral:lncRNA from 1 species
GCUGCUACUGUUGGGCUUAACCCAAUUCCCGUUUUUGUAUACAUCGGCUGUAUAUCAGUGUAUAUCGGCAUGUAUAUCAGCUUUUUCCAUGUAUCUCCUGCUUCCGAACACCUGUAUUUUACCUUGUCUCUGUAUUUUCACGUUUUUUGACUUAUAUAUCAUAUUUUAUGACUGUAUAUCAAUGUAUACAUCCUAGUAGGAAGAUGGAAAGAAUAUACUAUACACUAUAGGAGAGUCAAAGAAUAGGCCUGUUGGAACUAUAUCAAGAUUAGAAUGACAAGGAAUAUCCGAAUAUAUCAGCCUGUUUUCAAACUUUUCGGUCACCAAAAAUCCAAAUUCCAGCCCCUGUACUUUGCAUUCUGCCCUGCAUGCUUGUUUGUCAACUUCCAAUGAUCCAAAUGGAAGAGAGGUUGACUCAAUGAGGAGGAAUUGAGCGUAUGGCUCAAUUAAAAAUGCAAAGGAGAGAAGAAAGAAUUCACCGUGGACUCAAAAGGGGUUUUCACAUGCAAACGAAGUAAGGGAAAAGAGUUAAUAUAUAAGCCGUCUUGAGAUGAAAAUGGAGAGAGUAACACGAUUUAUUGCAAAUGUGGACAAACUCAAGAGAGUAUAAAUCAACAUAUAAAUGAAUCUCAAUUAUUGAUAAGUUUACUAUCCACAUGAAUCAAAACUAGAGCAAGCUAUUGAGGCUAGUGGGGAGCAUCUCUCUUUACCGUCAUAAGCAAAAAUUAGACAAAUAUAAAUGAACCAAAAUGGAGUAAAAAACAGCACAAUAACAAUAACCAAUAUUGAAUUGAAAUUUGGUAAAUUUGAUACCAUUUCUUGUUGCAAAGAAAAAUAAAUAGAUAAAUAAAAAUAACUUUUUAACCCAUUGCAAAAGAAACGAAGUCCAAAAGGACUCAAGCAGUCAAAUCAUUUUAUCAAACUAAAAUUAUAGACUUAUUUAAAAUUUAUCAAAACAAAAUCUCAUGAGCAGCAAAAUUUCAGCAACUUUACAAAUGUAAAAAAAAAGACAUGAAAAGUGAUAAUCAAAUAGAUUUCAAGGAUAUUCUCGUCACUUUGAUUGUUUUAUCCUAGGAUGAGUUAUCUUGGUAUUGUUAUUCUACCAAGAGGAAAGGAUAACUUGUAAUCAAACAAGAAAUAAAGAGGCACUAAAAAUUAUACCAUGACUAUUUUCUUUUAUCCAUUACGCCAAACGACUCUUAAGGGACUAAUUACGAGAGAAUACUAAUCAUUUCAAACCAAUGAAUCAAUACAGCAGCUGCAACAUACGCAUAUGGGCAGCAAACACAAGAAAAAGGGAAUAAGAUUAACUUUUACUCCACACAUCCAAAUAACCAAAAUAUAUAGAAAGCAACAUGUGUACAGUUGAGCAUGGAGCAUAUGUUUUUGCAAUAUUAUAUACCAAGGAAAUCAUUUUGAAGAAGACGUACACUCCAGGGAGCGAAUUAAGCAAACUAUUUAAGACUAAUGUAAAUAAACUCUACUAAUAAUUGAAAGUUGCACUAAAGAAGAGGUCCAACAACAAACUAAUGGACAAAAUCCUUCAAAAUGAAUGAAUAUCAAACAAAUAGAUGUUUUCUAGCCUAUAAAUUGUUUUUGAUCGAAGUAACUCUUCUAAAGUAAUAUAACAAACUAAAAUGAAGAGCAGUUAGUACUUGCAGGCUAUGUAAACAUCGAGAGGCAGAUUCGACACACAAAGAAAAUAAAUAAAGAAAACAACGAGAUAAACUCAAAUAGCGCAACACAUAAACAACAGAACUGAAGCUAAGACGAUGACCUUUAGGCUCAAUAUCGGAACUGGAUGAUGAAGUCACAUAAGAAACAAAAAUGUAACAUAUUGAAACCACCAAAACUCAACGAUAAUAGAUCAGCAAAUAGCCAUAUAAUAGAGCUUUUCCAACAAUAGAAAACAACAUAUCGAGAUGGAGAGGGAGACGAGGAGAAUGCUACAAAGGAAGAAGCGGUACCUCUUUCGACGCAGCAAACUUGAGACAAGAGCGAGCAGGGCAGCAACGAGCUUCUUCCAACACCACAAAAUUUGAAUCUCGAGCAGCUGACCACGGAGUGCAAAUCGGACUCGAGCAAAGAUUCGUUCACAACUUAGGAUUAGAGAAAUGUAUAAUAUUUCUUAAGUAUAAGAAUGAUUGUUCCUAAAAAAAAUCCGACUCCCUUUCUCUAAUGAUUGUCUCUAACAAAUUUUCAAACCCAAAAUCUCUCUUUUCAAAAAAAAAAAUCCCCCUCAACCAAGAACAAGAAGAGGGCAUUUAUAGAAAGGGAAUUGGGGGGAAAGGGUAGAAUCGAAAUUCGAGUUCAAUCUCCAAUUUUAAAUUUUUCCUCCAAGGAUGGGAAAGCUGUUGCUUGUGUGAGAUUUUCCCUAAAAUCCCAGGAUAUCCGGAUGAAGAGGUCAAAGAGGGUGGCUGUUGCAAAGAAAGUUGUAGGAGUUGUUGGAUAUUGACGCGUGAGGGAGAAGGAGAACGAUGUACAGGGGUCAGUUUGUGUUGUUGUGUGCGUUGAAAUUGAAAGGGAAAAAAG